rnacentral:lncRNA from 1 species
UUCUUAAAAUUUUCCUCUGGUUACAAAAUCAGUAGCAGCCCACCUAAUCAACUUAAAGCAAAUUACACUUUUGACUCAAACAGCUCAUGGCAGUUAUGGUUUCUGCAGAGUUUUUCCCUUUUUUUUUGCAUCAGUUACACAAACUUGAUUAAAAAAAAAAAAUCAGUAAUGAAAUCAUCUAAUUCAAGCAUGAAACAGAAAACAUCAAAUCACACAUCAAACUCAGAAUUAAGCUUAAUAUAUCAAAGUCAAAGAUAACAAAACAACUCAAAUUAAUCAAGCUGGAAACAUUCACGAAAAUAUCUCAAUGAAUAAAUUGAUCGCAUAAAAAUAAAUAUCAAUUGAAAAAACAAAGACAAAAACUCACUUUUCCAAGAAGAGACACAAAUAGGGUUUAAGCGAGAGGGAGAAAAGAGAGUUCAGGUGGCCAUAAAACGGAAGCUGAAGGCUUCUUUAUAGUUAUAUUAAAUUAAGAUUACUUGAUCUUUCCGUUCAAAGAGAGGUUUUACAGAAAUUAAAAAGAUCAGCGUCCUCGCAUACGUCGAUACAAAAAGCGGCAGAAAUAAUAUACUCGUGAACGGUCAGUUUCUUCUUGUUGUGUUGUGUUGUGUUGUAUUGUGAAAUUACAUGCGGGCACACGCUUUUCUUUAGAUGUCUUAAAAGAUAUUAAUCUACUAAACUUCACGAGAACUGCUUUGCUUGGUUUGGUACUGAAGCACAAUGUCCCACUUUUUCACUUUAUUUUUCCUCUAGUCGCACUCGGUCUAAUUACGUGUGUUAUUUUAAAAUUUAUCUGUUACUUUUUUUUCCCCACUAAAGCGGCAAUUUUUCUCCCCUGAUUCGUACGGCGCGCAACCCGCGACUUUUCGAUGCGGAAGUCGAAUUUAUAGGUAUGUAAAUUAUAUCAAUUUGUAAUAUGGCUGUGGGAUUUAUUACCAUAUUACAAGGACUGUAAAUUAUAUUAAUUGUGAUUUAGCAACGCCCUCAUAAUAAACUUACUUUUUGUAAGAUAUAGAUAUUUGCUGCGUUAUUUUUAUAUAAAUGUUGAAUUUAUUCUUUUAAAAAUAAGAGAGUACAAACAAAUGUUUUUUGAGGAGAGGUUACUAUGUGGCAUGGAUUAAAAAUAAUAUUUAUUAUGAAAUAGAAAGUAUAGUUUUGACAUAAAAUUUGAUAACAAUAAUAAAUAUGACUUUUAAAGUUACAUCAUGUUUGGAAACAGAAAACAUCAAAUCACACAUCAAACUCAGAAUUAAGCUUAAUAUAUCAAAGUCAAAGAUAACAAAACAACUCAAAUUAAUCAAGCUGGAAACAUUCACGAAAAUAUCUCAAUGAAUAAAUUGAUCGCAUAAAAAUAAAUAUCAAUUGAAAAAACAAAGACAAAAACUCACUUUUCCAAGAAGAGACACAAAUAGGGUUUAAGCGAGAGGGAGAAAAGAGAGUUCAGGUGGCCAUAAAACGGAAGCUGAAGGCUUCUUUAUAGUUAUAUUAAAUUAAGAUUACUUGAUCUUUCCGUUCAAAGAGAGGUUUUACAGAAAUUAAAAAGAUCAGCGUCCUCGCAUACGUCGAUACAAAAAGCGGCAGAAAUAAUAUACUCGUGAACGGUCAGUUUCUUCUUGUUGUGUUGUGUUGUGUUGUAUUGUGAAAUUACAUGCGGGCACACGCUUUUCUUUA